rnacentral:rRNA from 1 species
CAGGCUUAACACAUGCAAGUCGAGGGGCAGCAUGGUCUUAGCUUGCUAAGGCCGAUGGCGACCGGCGCACGGGUGAGUAACGCGUAUCCAACCUGCCUUACACUCUUGGACAGCCUUCUGAAAGGGAGAUUAAUACAAGAUGUUAUCAUGAGUAAGCAUUUUCGCAUGAUUAAAGGUUUACCGGUGUAAGAUGGGGAUGCGUUCCAUUAGAUAGUAGGCGGGGUAACGGCCCACCUAGUCUUCGAUGGAUAGGGGUUCUGAGAGGAAGGUCCCCCACAUUGGAACUGAGACACGGUCCAAACUCCUACGGGAGGCAGCAGUGAGGAAUAUUGGUCAAUGGACGAGAGUCUGAACCAGCCAAGUAGCGUGAAGGAUGAAGGUUCUAUGGAUUGUAAACUUCUUUUAUACGGGAAUAAACGAAUCCACGUGUGGAUUUUUGCAUGUACCGUAUGAAUAAGGAUCGGCUAACUCCGUGCCAGCAGCCGCAGUAAUACGGAGGAUCCGAGCGUUAUCCGGAUUUAUUGGGUUUAAAGGGAGCGUAGAUGGGUUGUUAAGUCAGUUGUGAAAGUUUGCGGCUCAACCGUAAAAUUGCAAUUGAUACUGGCAGUCUUGAGUACAGUUGAGGUAGGCGGAAUUCGUGGUGUAGCGGUGAAAUGCUUAGAUAUCACGAAGAACUCCGAUUGCGAAGGCAGCUUACUAACCUGUAACUGACAUUGAUGCUCGAAAGUGUGGGUAUCAAACAGGAUUAGAUACCCUGGUAGUCCACACGGUAAACGAUGAAUACUCGCUGUAGGCGAUAUACAGUCUGCGGCCAAGCGAAAGCAUUAAGUAUUCCACCUGGGGAGUACGCCGGCAACGGUGAAACUCAAAGGAAUUGACGGGGGCCCGCACAAGCGGAGGAACAUGUGGUUUAAUUCGAUGAUACGCGAGGAACCUUACCCGGGCUUAAAUUGCAACCGAAUAUGGCGGAAACGCUAUAGCUAGCAAUAGCGGUUGUGAAGGUGCUGCAUGGUUGUCGUCAGCUCGUGCCGUGAGGUGUCGGCUUAAGUGCCAUAACGAGCGCAACCCUUGCCGAUAGUUACUAACAGGUCAUGCUGAGGACUCUGUCGGGACUGCCAUCGUAAGAUGUGAGGAAGGUGGGGAUGACGUCAAAUCAGCACGGCCCUUACGUCCGGGGCUACACACGUGUUACAAUGGGGGGUACAGAGGGCUGCUACCACGCAAGUGGAUGCCAAUCCCAAAAACCUCUCUCAGUUCGGAUUGAAGUCUGCAACCCGACUUCAUGAAGCUGGAUUCGCUAGUAAUCGCGCAUCAGCCACGGCGCGGUGAAUACGUUCCCGGGCCUUGUACACACCGCCCGUCAAGCCAUGGGAGCCGGGGGUACCUGAAGUGCGUAACCGCAAGGAGCGCCCUAGGGUAAAACUGGUGACUGGGGCUA